AAAAUUAGAGUGUUCAAAGCGGGCAGAAACUUUUUCCUGCCACCGAAUACAUUAGCAUGGGAUAAUGGAAUAGGACCCUGACCUCCUAUUUUCAGUUGGUUUUGUUUUUACAGCGAGGUUCAUCAGGGUAAUGAUUAAUAGGGAUAGUUGGGGGCAUUAAUAUUUAAUUGUCAGAGGUGAAAUUCUUGGAUUUAUGAAAGAUUAACUUCUGCGAAAGCGUUUGCCAAGGAUGUUUUCAUUAAUCAAGAACGAAAGUUAGGGGAUCGAAGACGAUCAGAUACCGUCGUAGUCUUAACCAUAAACGAUGCCGACCAGCGAUUAGGAGACGUUGAAUACAAAACACCGCCGUUAAUCCUUUUCAACGGGGGUUAACGGUUGGUGAA
rnacentral:rRNA from 2 species